UACGAAGGGGGCUAGCGUUGCUCGGAAUCACUGGGCGUAAAGGGUGCGUAGGCGGCUUUAUAAGUCGGGGGUGAAAGCCUGUGGCUCAACCACAGAAUUGCCUUCGAUACUGUAGAGCUUGAGACCGGAAGAGGUAAGUGGAACUGCGAGUGUAGAGGUGAAAUUCGUAGAUAUUCGCAAGAACACCAGUGGCGAAGGCGGCUUACUGGUCCGGUUCUGACGCUGAGGCGCGAAAGCGUGGGGAGCAAACAGG
rnacentral:rRNA from 1 species